rnacentral:rRNA from 1 species
UACAGAGGUCCCGAGCGUUGUUCGGAUUCACUGGGCGUAAAGCGUGCGCAGGCGGUUGUGCAAGACAGAUGUGAAAUCCCCGGGCUUAACCUGGGAAUUGCAUUUGUGACUGCACGGCUAGAGUGUGUCAGAGGGGGGUAGAAUUCCACGUGUAGCAGUGAAAUGCGUAGAGAUGUGGAGGAAUACCGAUGGCGAAGGCAGCCCCCUGGGAUAACACUGACGCUCAUGCACGAAAGCGUGGGGAGCAAACAGG